CAGUGGGUGAAAAAAAAAAUCUCGAUAAAUAAUCGAUAGGGCGGUCAGCUGUGACACACUAAUGUGAGGUCAUACUAGAUGUAGCACGAAGUAGCUAGAAUGUACUAGACUGGAUGCAACCCUUAUUAGCUGCACCCGAUAAGUUUGGUAUUAUUCGGUUAUCGAAGAAAAAGUGUUGUUCAGCUGAUCGUGAUUUCCGCCGAUGGCCUACGCCUCGACUAAUGUUUCCGGUUCGCCUUCUUUUCGAUCUGAACAGUCAACGCGUCAAGUUGUAAAAGUGCGUCGAAAAUUUUAACUUGCGGUCAUACGGAAUUUUUUUGUCGUGCGAAAUAUCGAGAAUACGGCGUUCCUUCGCUUAUAGUGGUGCGCGGAAUAAGUCCGGCGUGUGUUUUCCCGGCGAUAUUAAGCCGUAGAGAUCGGCGUUUGUCACGGCCCUCUCACCGCCGCUUUGCCGCCAAAUCCUAGCUUCGACUGGGACAAACUGCAGCCGAAAUUGAAGCCCGGUGGGUUUUCGCUGGACGUCUUAUACUUUCGCCCGGGUCCUACGAUUUUACGGAUCCGCUACCGGCGGGCAGAAGGAGAGACGGCAACUGCGCCAGGCCGAGUAGUGGAGCGCCUUUCCAGCGAGCCGGAGCAAAGGACCAGCCGCAGCAGCCGGACAGCGACCGCCCUAAAUCGGGGCCACCAGGAGGGAUCUUUAAACAAAUAAAAAUGCAGCCUAAGUAGAGCUUAGAGUGAGGUUAGAGUGAAUAGAAUUUUCUUUAGGCUUGAUCGGCAGUCUAGAAUGUCGAAAUUAAAUUAAAUUCCAGUUGAAUCGAACAAAAUUUCUAAGUGUACGCUGAGAUAUGCCGAAAGCCAGACCUAACCUUACUAAAGAGUAUUAAUUCCACCUGAUCGCCAUCUUGGACAUAGAGUGGCAGAAAUUAAAAUUAUUCCUAUGUAGUUUAGGUUUAACGUUAAGCCAUAAGAAUAGGUUCACGAGUAGGAAACUCGGUCAUACCGUUUAAUAAUUUUUCUUGAAUUUAAAAAAAAA